rnacentral:lncRNA from 1 species
AGUUAAGGUCGAUUUGGGACAGGUGUUUGUAAUUUUCGUUAGUACCGGCUAUCUAGUGGGAAAUCUUGUAAACGAGUCGUACUGGAUGCCGAUUUAAAUGCGAUUUUCUGGAAUUAUUUCAAUUAUCGCUAGUCGGGAACGAACCACACGGCCACAGAUUCUUAUAAAUAAAAGAGAUAAAAAUGGCAGAAUUAAUUUCUCUCGGUCGAUCCUAAAUGUCGACAACGCUUUUCCUAUAAGAAUCUCCAUUAUAAUAAGUGUUGGUUCCGCCAUCCGAUUCAUUGUUCCGGCCACGUUUACUCGGCUUUGGCCGAGUCCAGUUGUCAGUUUGGCUAAAGUACUUUAAGGGACGUUCCUUUAACUCUUAACGUUCUCGGACG